CUUUUCUUUUUUUCUUUUUUUUUUUGGAGGCAGAGUCUCACUCUGUCACCCAGGCUGGAGUGCAGUGGCACGAUCUUGGCUCACUACAACCUCCGCCUCCCAGGAUCAAGUGAUUCUCCUGCCUCAGCCUCCUGAGUAGCUGGGAUUACAGGCAUGUGCCACCACACCCAGCUACUUUUUGUAUUUUUUUAGUAGAGACAGGGUUUCACCGUGUUGGCCAGGCUGGUCUCAAACUCCUGACCUCAAGUGAUCCUCCCGCCUCGGCCUCCCAGAGUGCCAGGAUUACAGGCAUGAACCACGGUGCCUGGCCUAUAUUGUAUUUAUAAAUAACAAUUAUAUGGAUUGUUCAUAAUGUAAAUUACUUUAUAGAGACCUUUUUUUUUUUUUAUUUUUUUACAGACAGAGUUUCCCUCUGUUGCCUAGGCUGGAGCACAGUGGUGCAAUCACAGCUCAAUGCAGCCUCGACCUCCUGGACUCAAGUGAUCCUCCUGCCUGGGCCUCCUAAAUAAGUGGGACUACUGGCAUGUGCCAUCGUGCCUGGCUCAUGAGACCUCAUUUUCUAUUAUCCCAUUGAAGGUAGGAGGGAACUGAAGCUCAGAGAGGUAAGUUCAUUUUCCCAAGGUUGCUCAGCAAGCAGGUGGCAGAGUCAACAUCUGAACCCACUUCCAAGUGUUUCCAGUCUUUGGCUCUUAAUAACAGCCCUACCCCGCCUGAGGUGGAUGCCACAGCAUCUGCGGAGGACCAGCAGGGUGUAGGUUUGGCUGAGCGACCAUGGAUAACAGCAAAUUGUUGGUGUUAUGUUGUUGUGAUGGUUUACGUUUAUUGAGUCCUUACUAUGUGCCAGGCACCAUGCUAAAGGUUUUAAUAAUAAUAAUGAUGUACCAGGUGCAGUGGCUCAUACCUGUAAUCCCAGCACUAUGGGAGGCAGGAGGAUUGAGCGAGCCCAAGAGUUCGAGACCAGCCUGCGCAACAUGGUGAAACCCCAUCUCUACAAAACAAUCAAAAAAUUAGCAGGGUGUGGUGGCACGUGCCUAUGGUGGCAUGUUCCCUACUCAGGAGGCUGAGGUGGGAAGAUUGCUUAAGCCGGGGAGGUCGAGGCUGCAGACCUAGGAGACAGAGUGAGACUCUCUAAAAAAAAAAAAAAAAGAUGGUAGUGAUGAUGACAGAUGCUCAUAUGGCACUUAGCGAAGGCCGAUCCCUUCUCUAAGUGUUGUUACAUGGAUUAAUUCAUUUAUUCCUUUCUUUUCUUUUAGCAGGGUCUCACUCUGCCACCCAGGCUGGAGUGCAGUGGCACGAUCUCGGCUCACUGCAGCCUGGGCCUCCCAGGUUUAAGCAAUUCUUCUGCUUCAGCCUUCCAAGUAGCUGGGAUUACAGACACCUGCCACCACGCCCGGAUAAGUUUUGUAUUUUUAGUAGAGAUGGGAUUUUGCCACGUUGGCCAGGCUGAUCUCAAACUCCUGACCUCAAGUGAUCCUCCCGCAUUGGCCUCCCAAAGUGCUGGGAUUACAGGCGUGAGCCUCUGCACCCAGCCCAAUUAAUUUAUUCCUUAUACCACCUAAGUACCAUCAGCGUGUCCCUGAGGCCUUUGUGUGCACAGCGCGUAGAGGAGCUAGGAUUUGGACCCAGACAGUUUGACUCCAUGGACUGUCCUCCUAAACCACAUCCC
rnacentral:lncRNA from 1 species